rnacentral:tRNA from 1 species
CAAAUUAAAGCUUUAUAAAGCAUUUUAUUUACAUUAAAAAGAUAGUUAUAAUAACUUGAUUUGA